GGGCGACGGGCGGCCGCUGUCGCUCCCUCCGCGCUGCUCUCCCGUUCUCCCCGCAGCCCAGCGGCCCCGGCCCGGCCCGCAGGACAUGGAACAAUUAAAUAACACUAUGAGCACCUGUCAGUCAAGAUAAAUGAAGAUAAGCAGCUGUGACUACUAAAUUAAAAUCUCUGUAGGAGAGGAAUGGCAAAUGAUGCAGAGCAGCAGUGGCAUUGGAAGAAAAGCAUGUUGAGAUGGACCUGAAAUUGAAUCCUGACAGAGUUUCUCAUCUGGGCUCAUCUGCAGACCAGGAGACUGAUUUGAAUUGGCAAGGCAACCCAAAUCCCAUUCCACUGAUUAAAGAUGAUGGAGAGCUGCUUCUGGAUGAACAUCUUUCCCCUAGGAAACUGCAAAUUUUGGCAGGGGUAGAUGAUCUGCAGCAGGUGAAGGCCCUAGAGAUGCGAGUUGACACCAGAGGGAUCAGCUUGGGGAACUUCGGUGUGCAUCUGCCUAACCUGAGAGAACUGAAGUUAAACAAUAGCUUGCUUGUGUCUGUGAGGGAUCUUGGAACCUCAUUGUCCUGUCUCCGUGUCCUGUGGAUGGCUCGGUGUGGGCUCUCAGAUUUAGAUGGGAUCUCUUCCUGCAGCUCUCUGAAAGAACUCUACAUUGCUUAUAACAAUAUCUCCGACCUGAGCCAGCUGACCUGGCUGGAUCACCUUGAGGUUUUGGACCUGGAAGGGAACAAUAUUGAGGACAUCAACCAGAUGCAGUACCUGCAACUUUGUUGCAAGCUAAGCCACCUGACAGUGGAGGGCAACCUUAUUUGCCUGAAACCAAAUGCAGAAUCUGAAGAGGAACCAGAUUAUAAUUACAGAGCGGAAGUAAAAAAACUCAUUCCCCACUUGAAGUAUUUGGACAGAAUACCAGCAAGCCAGACUGAUCACCUUCCUUCCAAGAAGAUACAUGAGGAUUCUCUAAUCAUCAAGGAAUCCAUCAAGGAAGGUGGUUUAGCCAGAGACAUUUCAUGGUUAGAUCCUUAUCUUGGGGCAGUAGCAAAGCAGUCUGGAUGUGGCCCAAAAUCCCCAACAGCUUCCAGACCUGGAAAUGCACAGUGUUCUGCUAACAUAGGGACGUGUAGUGGUGCCAGCCUCCUGUCCAGUAGCUGUCCUCUUCCAGAUCCCGCUGUUUUUCCUGAUAUGCUCUUCACAGAAGAUGACUCCAGUGAUUUGACACAUGGACUCCGUCAAGUUAUAUGUGGGAACCCCGCCAAGGCCCUUCGAGAAAGGAGGCAAAAGCUAGGUCCACCUGCUGUGAGCCCUUUGAAACCGUCUGGCCUGCCGACAGAAAACCUUUGUGGCUCUGGAGGAGGAAGAGAUCUGCACCAGGAAAAGGUGUCCCCCGACCAGACAGCAUGGACGGAGCAGCACAAGGGGUGCCUGCAAACAGGUCUGCAAGAACAAACCAGCCAAGCAUUGAAGGUGACUGAGGGUGAAGACUGGAGCCUGACUGACAGCUCACAAGAUGAGUUGAGGGAGGCCUGUGAUGAGGACCUCAUUGAAAGGAUUUCACUUGAGCCUUCUUCCCACUCCAGUUUCUCCCACUCUUCCUCAGGUUCAUCACAGGCUCAGGAGGGUGCAUUGUUCUCCAACACAAAACGUUAUCUAAUUCCAUCCCCUCCAAAAAACCCUUCACCUGCCUCUGCAAUGGAUGUUGCAACAAGACCCUGGAAAACAAGGAACCACAGAGGCCUAAAAAUACCCACCCAAGAGGAGUACAGGCAGUGUACACAGCAAUGCCAGUCAAAGGCUCAUCAAGAGAAUUCAGCCCAGCUUCUGGACAAAGAACCUGCUCUCCUGGGCCUGCACAGCCUGUCCGCUGCCUCUGGAUCCCAAAGGCAGCACCAGCCUGUUGGCUGCAGCAGCCAGAAAAGGCCUGUUCUAGGACCAGCAGCUGUUGGGUCAUCAAGGAUCAGGCUGCAGCAUCUCCGUGAUACAAACCACAUGGUCAGUGAGUGAAAUCCAGCUGGCAACAAUGAGCUCCAAACACAAAGAUAAGUUCAUGAUAAGCUCCUUGCUGUUGUUUGCUCUCACCUGCCUUGUCAUGAUACCAGGCAGCUAAUCCCCUGUGUUGUUUCCUCGCCUGAGUCAAACGAAACAUGCGGUUUUGUUGGGCUGGGAGGAAAGGAGCAAGGGGAAAGGGCAUGGGGAGGUGACAUCAUGCUGCCCAGCCCUGUCCUGGCUCUCCUGACAGUUUUUCCUUGCCAGUUCCCACCAGUGCAGCACCAGCACUGUUUUUGCUAUCCUGACAGCUACACAGAGGUGUUUUCCCCCUUCUAGCCCAGAGCACCCUUGCCCCCAGUGCAGAGCAUUGCUUUCAUUCUGCCUGCACCAACCCUGGUGUCCAUCGCAGCCCAUUCUGUUUUGAAAGCCCUCCCUUUCCUUGGUAAAACAAUCCAAAUUCCUUUAGCAGCACUUCUCACUGUUUCAGUCCCUACCUGACUGCGUAGCUCUCUUUGAGCAUUGCUUACUUCUACUGAAAAGCAUUACCAGCACAGAGCGUCUAAGGGACCUGUUUUAAACUGUCCAACAAAGCAUUAUUAACCCAUAUCACAGACUAUGAUCAAAAACAUCUUUUCUAUGGAAAUUCUUCUUCUUGUCCAACUGACUAUUCCAGAAAAAACAACUCUCUCUGUCCUCCAUUUGUCCAAAUAAUUAUCCCAUGUCAUGUCAACCGCACUUCUGUUCAAUUUUGUUUUGCAUUGGGUUUUUUUCCCUCCCCACACACCCUUAGGAAGUGAGCGAUUCCUAAGCUCCAUCAGAGAUCAGCAGGUGGUGGGGAGGUGGGAAGAGGCUGAGACUGGAGGAUAGAGAGCCUAAAAGGUCUGUUUUUCUGCUCAAGUGCUCAUGCUUCUGUCCACAGCACCAGGUUUAAAGAAAUGGCCUGGAUGUGUUACCACUGUCCCCAAGUCCCCUCACAGACCCUGAGGUCUUCUUGGCUGCCCAAAGAAGAGGGAAACUCUCAGGUGCUUCUCUUCUGGUGUAAUUAUGACAGGCAAUUUAAAAUCAGCCAAGAGCUGUAUUUGACAGUCUUAUUUGGAACAUAAUGGACUAAUGAUCCCUUCAAUUUAAUUAAGGAUUUUUUCAAAGAAUUACAAAUUAACCUGAAUUAAGAUGAGAGUGUAUACAGCAAGACUUAAUGUAGUUCCACUAAUUUAGAUUGCUGGAUAAAUUAUUUUGGAUUAAUUUUCCAAGAGGACAUGUGACAUUUUUAUUGGUAUAAAAACUAAUCAGAAAUGUAGCAGGUGUUUUGAAAGUGAAAUAGUUUUGCCUUUUAAGGGGUGCAACUCUUGAUAACACAUCUUUUGAGAAUCUGUACUGGUACCUCCUUCCCAGGCAAGAAAAAGCUAUGGCAAUGUAAAGGAUCAUGCUUGCAUUUUACAGGUGUGUGUCUGCAAAUAUAUAUGUGUGUGUGUGUCUGUGCCUGUGUCUAUGUGAAGAAACAAUGACUGGGAAAUUUGUUCCACUUUGAUUACUCCAACAGCUUUAAAUCAGUGUAACAUCUGAAUGGUAGCAAGGCUUGAAGCAGUGGCCAGAAGGUGAUGACAGAAGCAUCUGUGGUGGUUUAUGACAUGUUUAUCCUCCUGUUCCUUCCCCUCUUCCUCCUCUCCCAGCUGCUCAGUACUCUCUGACUGCUCAGGAUUGAUGUAUCCAUAGCAGAGGCAGCGGGAAGCAUUGGGAAACCUCUUCUCAUCCCCAUAGCACACUUGACUGGGUGUAGCUUGGACAGCCAUUGUUCUGAAGUUUCCUCACUGCCCAGCUGGAUCCCUUCAGGAAAACCCCCCCAAGUCACUUCUCUUUGCAGGAGAAACUGCCCUGGAUCCCCCCAUCCAGUGCAGCUGUUGGAACACUGCUUCAAAAGAAUCUACCUAGGCACCUGUACCUACCCCACCUGGUGGAUUGGGAAGAACCCUCUCUGGCUGUGGGGAGUCAAAAUGUACCAGUUCCCACCUCCAGCACCGCAGGAAACCAGAUGAUGGCUGCAUCUUUCACUCAGGCCGACAGAAGAGGCUUCCAGUAAGCGGCAGGGGUGGGGGCAGAGCCCACCCGCACAAAGGCAGCUCCCCACGGGCUCUGUGACCGCUGUC